CAAUGUGUGUGUGCAGCAGAGUUUGCAAUCUUACAUGGCUUCUAACAUUAGUGCAGCUGCUCCCAUGUUGGUAGAAGCUUUCGAUGCCUCAGUGUGGGGCGACUUCUUUGUGAACUAUACUCCAGAACCGUUACAGAAGUCGGAGGAAUGGAUGAGGGAUAGGCUGAUCAAUUGAAGGAGGAGGUAACUUUGCUAUUUGAAACUUGCAAGGAUGUGGAGGAAAAAUUGAAACUUGUGGAUGUGCUCCAACAUUUGGGAAUAGACCAUCACUUCGAGAGACGUAUUGCCGUUGCUUUAAGCGACAUUCAUGGUGCUGAAUUCAACAGCUCCAGCCUCCAUGAUGUCGCGCUUCGAUUCCGUUUGCUUCGGCAGCAUGGGCUAUGGGUUUCUCCAGAUGAGUUCAACAAGUUUAAAGGCCCAGAUGGGAGAUUCAACGCUGAAGUAAUAGAUGAUCCCAUGGGCAUGUUGAGCUUAUACAAUGCAGCUCACCUAUUAAUUCAUGGCGAGGUGGAAUUGGAAGACGCUAUUUUGCUCUCAAGGCAUCAACUCGAAACAAUAAUAGCAAGAAAUCUCAAGUCGUCACCAUUAUCUCAACAAGUAACACGGGCCCUUCGAAUACCUUUACCACGGACCUUGAAGAGGAUAGAGGCGCUUAAUUAUAUAGCAGAAUACAAUCAAGAGCAAGCAUGCAAUCCCUCUGUGCUCCAACUUGCAAGGCUGGAUUUUAACCUUCUGCAACUUCUUCACUUGAGGGAGCUCAAGGAAUUUUCUCGGUGGGGAAAUAAUCUAUACGGUGCAGUGGAACUAACCUACUCUCGAGAUCGUAUAGUUGAAUGCUACUUUUGGUCCUAUACAAUUUACUACGAACAGAAAUAUGCGCAAGCACGAAUCAUCCUUGCCAAGAUAUUCGUGCUAGCAACCUUACUAGAUGACACUUAUGAUAUGCAUGCUAUAUUGGAAGAGGGCCAAAAGCUCAAUGAAGCAAUACAGAGAUGGGAUGAGAGUGCCAUUUCUGUUUUGCCGGAGUACUUGAAGAAUUACUAUGCCAAGCUAAUGAGUACCUUCAAAGAGAUUGAGGAUGAACUGAAAUCAGAGGAGAAGUACUACAUUACUUAUGCUGUAAAAGCGUAUCAAAGGUUAUGCAAGUCUUACCUCCAGGAAGCUGUAUGGUUUCAUCAGAAUUACAUACCAAGCUUUCAAGAACAUUUGGAUGUGUCCAUCAUCUCCUCGGGCUCUUCAAUGCUAUCUGUUGUGUCAUUUGUUAGUGCCGGUGAUUUAGCAACAAAAGAAGCCCUUGAAUGGGCCUUUGGUUGCACCGAUGCUGUCAAGGCUUGUGGCGAAAUUGGACGCUUCCAGGAUGACUUGGCUGCAUUCAAGCACGGGAAGGGCAAACUAGAUAUGGCCACCUCUGUUGAGUCCUACAUGAAGGAGCACAAUGUCACUGGUGAGGAAGCCACGGCUGUGAUAAGUAAUCUGGUCGAAGACGCAUGGAAAACUAUCAAUCAAGCACGCUUUGAGCGUUCCUCGCUUGUGCCGGCUGUGAACCGAGUCGCCAACUUAGCGAUGAGCAUAAUGUUCUUCUACCAAGGCAGCGAAGACGCCUACACCUUCAACAAGCUCAGCAUGAAUAUCAUCAAGCAGCUGUUCGUCAAGCCUAUCCCCAUAAUCUAGAUAUUAUACUACACUCCAUGUGCCAGCAGUGAAUUCCUAUAGUAAACAUGAGAUGCCUAGAUGAUCUUGUCAUCAUGCAACGUCUUUAAUUCUUUGUGAGUGUUGAAUAAUUGUGUGCACGCAUAUAAUUAGGUGUUUGUGUCCUCGCAAAAAAGAAAAAAGAAAAAAAAAGUGUUUGUGCUUGCAGUUUGCUGGGGUGUUUUGUUGUCGUGCGUGGCAAACUGUUUGCCAUGACUUGUGUAAUUCUCCCUAUAUUUCAGUUCAAAUGGAUCAGAAAAGAUGCGCUUGUUGAGGCAGCACAAAAA